CAAGGAUGUGCUCAGUGCCAACGCCCGGAGCUGCUCAGCCUGGGAUGUGGUGGGGCACAUCUUCAGUGAGUUCAGCCGCACCACGGGAAGAAGGGUAAGGACAGUGGGCAGCAUCUUCCUUUGGAAGACCCGUGCUGCUCAGAGGCUGGCACAGAAGCACCGGUGGGGCCACACCUGAGCCUCCUGAGAGGCUCCUCAGAACUAAGAGUAACCAGCGUUCCAACAACACUGUUGUGCAGGCAGCUGGAGACCUUUCUGCCCAGGAAGCCCAGGAAGAAGGAGCUCUCCAAGAGCUCUGUAUGGACAUCCUGGAGUCGCUGGAUGUCUCUGUGAGCGGGAUGACCAAAGUAAGUCACAAUCUGACCUGCUGCCACUCCUUGCCUUCACACCACGUGUUCCUCAUCCCGUUCCAACACCCCCGGUCUCUCCUCCAACAUGCUCUAAAACACACAAGACUCAGGGAAAUUCACAGAGUCCUCUUCAUCUCUGAGCGGAGGCAGGAACGCUGACACAAUGCUCAACCGCCUCGUUCCCUACAGCUCCUGUGGCCACGGCUGCUGCUGUACGUGGUGCCAGCCCAGUACACCGGCAUGCUGAUCCCGGUCUCCCGCUGUGUCCAAGCGUUGGCUGAGAGAGGGGACCUGAUGGUGCGGGAGGUGGAAGAACUGGAUCCCCAUUUCCUCAGCUCCAUGUUUCAAGGCCCACUGCUGACUCCCCAGACACUGCUGGCACGCCUGCUGGUGGUGGCAGGGAGCCCUUUUGCAGGCAGCGAACUCCAAGCCGCUGCCUUGCUGCUGAUGCAAAACCUCCACAGCAGGAUCCACAGAGCUGUGGGGGCCAUGUGGGCCGCUGAGAUCCCCCUGCUGCUGCAGUGCCUCCAAGGUAAAGUGCUGGCGGGGAGGGAGAGGUGGAGGCAGGGAAGGGGAGGGAGUGAAAAUGGAGCUCUGCAGCGUGGCAGAGGGGAAGCAUUGCCUGCAGCCCAGUACUUGCUCUGCUGCUGUUCCCAUUCCAGGGAGACAGCACUGAGGUUCGGGGUCCUUUCCCCCCGGGGAU
rnacentral:lncRNA from 1 species